rnacentral:rRNA from 1 species
GAGUGAAGAGGGAAGAGCUCAUCAUUGGAAUCUGGCAGUGUUUCACUGUCCGAGUUGUAGAUGAGGAGUAGUCCGUCUGGACUGCAUGGCGUCCAAGUACAAUAGGCCGUCAGUGGGACAUCAUAGAGGGUGACAAUCCCGUCCUUGACGCCAAUGUGCAAGUCUAUUACGAUGGCUAUCUCAGAGAGUCGAGCAGUUUGGGAUUUGCUGCUUAAACAUGGGAGGUAGAUUCCUUCUAAAGCUAAAUACAGGCGAGAGACCGAUAGAGAACAAGUACCGCAAGGGAAAGAUGAAAUAGCACUCUGUGAAGGGAGUCAAAAGGCGUGAAAUUGUUGCGAGAGAAGCGAUUCAAGUCAGCGUAGCUAGGCCCAUCAAGCGUCUUCGCUUUGGACUAGCUUUGCCAGCGGUCUUGUCCCUUAAAGAGACUUGACUUGUAAUAUGUCCAGCCUGGCGUGCACAGGCAGCCCCUUCUGGGGGGCCAGUGACAUGGCUGGUGGAAUGGCUUGCAAUCGACCCGUCUUGAAACACGGACCAAGGAGUCUAACAUGUAUGCGAGUAUAAGGGUGGCAAACCCGUAUGCGCAAUGAAAGUGAUUUUCGGUGAUUGAGAAUGGCCUGAUGACCAGACAAGCAAUAUAUGUCCCUCGUACGGCCAUUGCCCAAGUUCCGUGGUAGAUCCCACGAACAUGGAGUUGGAGCAUACAUGCUAGGACCCGAAAGAUGGUGAACUAUGCCUGGACAAAGCGAAGCCAAAGGAAACUCUGGUGGAGGCUUGUAGCGAUUCUGACGUGCAAAUCGAUCGUCUGAUCUG